rnacentral:lncRNA from 1 species
UUAGUUGUUAACUAGUCAUGGCGAUUGCAGGUGUUGAUGAUGAAAGGGGCAUCAAAGGAUCGAGUUUAUCAAUGUGUGUCUCACUUGAUUUUCCUUGUCACUAAUCAAAUGAUUUAAGGGAAUCAAAGACCAGGUAACUCAUUGAUUCUUUCAUUUUACCAGCUCAAUAAUUGGUGGAAAGAUUUAAUUAAAAAAAUAUUAAGCAGUCCCUAGAAGCCCACUUGGUCAUUAAAGUCACAUUACUUUGACACCCCUCCCCAGGAGUCGUCCAAACUCCAUUGUCUUUUGUUCAAUUAUAAAUUUCCAAAUUAGGGCAGUCUAUUAUUUUUCAAAAUAUGUUUUAUUUUAUUUUAUGAAUGGGUUUUCUGAGUCAUGUAGAAACCUUAACAUGAAGCACACCUCAACACUUUUCUUUAAUCUUAUAGACUGAAAUCACUUUUCUUUUAUCCAAAUUUUAACUGAAUUUUUACAUUUAUUUAAAAAUCUUAACAUAACCCUAAUUUUGUACGAUAUUUUUAAAAAUUAGAGAAAAUCAUGAAUAAUUUAACCGUCUACUGAAAAACCUUAAUCCUGUACGAAGCUUUUUAAAAAUUAGAAAAAUAUUAUGAAAGAAAAGGUUGGUAAAUAAUAUUUUCAUUGAACUAGUAUUUAGAGGGUUUUUUUUUUCUGGAAAAGAAACGAAACAUCCAAUCAAUUAAAUUUUGUAAUUAAGUAACAAACUAAAUGAACAUUUUUUGGUAAAUUAAAAUUAAGAAACCGAAGAUGGAGUUCCCACUUGUUUUGCUUCCAGCACUGAUGAUUGCAGAUGAUGAAAUAUAGCCUGUGAAUGAUAUUUCAAGUAUGGAAAUGUGUCCCUCCACUUGAAUAUUUAUUUUCAUUAAGUCGUGUUUCUCAAUUCGUUUUAUUUUAAAUCGAAAGUGGUUUCUUUAAUUGAUUUUUUUUAGAAUUUAUCAAAUCACCCCAAAAUAUAUGGAAAAAUUAGCAUUUGUUAAUAUGAAGUCUAGCUAGCUACUCACUAAGUAUUAUAAUAGAACAAAUCAUCAUCAAGGAUUAAUUACGCUAUCUAACACCUAGAAUGACUAAAUUGCAAAACUGUCAAAAGUGCAAAAAUAACAUUUCAAUGGGAAAAAGUGGUCGAUUGACUUCCAUGUUGCGAGUUAAUUCUUGGACUAGGGAUCUAAAAGGUUCAAACUCCUAAUUGGUUCAAUUUUACCUCUCAGGCAUAAUUUUACCCAAUUAGACGAUUUAGUCUAGUUUAUUUCUCGAUCUCACUAAACUAAAUCGGAACAAUCAAAUUGAUUCUCAAUAGGCUCUCCUCUUGGUCUCACUUAUCUAAAUGUUCACCUAGAGGCGUCAAAUCUAGAUUUUUAAAUUUAUUCGAUUUAGUCUAGUUUUACAAUUUAGUCCCUACCUGAAAAACUAGCAAUGCAACAUUUCUAUUAACUAAGCACCAUGAGAUUUAGUUAUUACCCAUCAUCAACACACAAAUAUCAGUCAAAUACAUGCUCAAAUGAUCAAUUAAAUAAAACAUAAAAAAAGCAAGGUUAGGAAAAUCUUAAGAGACUCUUGAUGAGUUCUUUGGAGAAGAUGACAACACCAACAAUGAAGAAGAAAACACAACUAAAGUUUAAAUUUUUACAAUUUUGAGAGUUAAAAAAGCGGAAAUAUAGUAAAGGAUGUAAAGAGAAAUCAAAAUACAAAGUAAAGUUUUUGUUCUAAGUGCAAAGAAAGGAAAAACUACAGUAAAAACUAAGAAAACUAUCAGCUACAACCACUCAUUAGCUGAGAAAAGUAAAGAACUAAAACCUAAAAAUGGAGAAGAGUAUAACUACUAAGCUUAAAAGAUGAUAAAAAGGUCUCUCCUCUUGGUUUGACACAAAAGCAUAUUUUGUACAACCAAAAUUCAACCCUAAACUUGACAAAAAUGCCCUUGGAGUGUAUGGGUUGACUUGUGUUUGUGUUGGAUAUAAAACUACAUUUGUAGUAUUUUUCACCCCGUCAAGCAACAGUGUCGCGACACCUUCGACAAUGACACACUCUUGGCUUUAGGGUUCUCUAUGUCACGACAUCCUUGGGAGUGACCAUGACUUUUUACUUCAACAAUCAACAGUAGUAUUGCGACCUUGGAGGCUUGGUGUCACAACUUUGGGUUUAGUGUCAAGACACCUCGACAAUUUGCUUCAAGUUGGUUUCUUGUUGAAGUCUUGCACCCCUGAGGUAGUGGAGGCUUAGUGUCGCGACAUCCUAGCAUUAAUGUCGUGACACCGGCGUCAGAUGUAGUUCUCCUCAAGGUUUGAUUGUUGUUGUCUUCCUACACAAACUCAAUUGCACUAUUAGACACCCAAUGAGACAAUUUUGCCAAAUUGGGUUUCAAAAGGACUAAAAAAACUAAAGGAAAACAAUCAUAAAUACUAAAAAUUGAAAAUCAAAGAAAAUCAUAGAAAAAACUCGUAAAUUGCUUAAGAACAAACUCAUUAAGUGUUCUAGAGAGUCUAAUUUGAUGUAUCAAAUUAUGACAGAUCAUAUACACGUGCCAUGUCAGCAAAGUUAACAAACGUUAACUUUUCCAUCCAUUUUAGGUGAUUUGACAAUUGCACAAGUUGAAGCAACACAUUCACUUUUCUAUCCAUUUUGAGUCAGUCGAUGAAGUUGACAUAGUUGGUUUUCAUCAUAGCCUUGACCAUUUCAGUGGAUGAAGCAAUGAUGAUGGGGAAUUACCUGAAUUUAAGUUGUGUGAUAGAGUCAUAUUUUCGGAAGAGGGCAUGGAUGGACUAGUGAAGAAGUGAGCCGAUGAGGUUGAGGUUGUUGAUUAUCAACCAGGGUUUUGGAUCGGGUGAUAAAUUAAGUUUCUGGAGAUGACAGAAGUGAAGGGAGAGGACGAUGAGAGUUAGAGCGGCAGGCCAUGGAGUCAAGUAAGAAACCAAAGAGGAAAUUUCCAUUUGUUUUAGUUAGUUGUUUAUAGUAAUAUAUAAAACAUGUAUUUAUAGACAAAAAUUGUGAUAUAAAUAUAUUAAGCUUAGCAAUGUGUCUCCCA